UACGUAGGGUGCGAGCGUUAAUCGGAAUUACUGGGCGUAAAGCGUGCGCAGGCGGUUCGCCAAGUCAGGUGUGAAAUCCCCGGGCUUAACCUGGGAAUUGCGCUUGAAACUAGCGGGCUUGAGUGUGGCAGAGGGGGGUGGAAUUCCACGUGUAGCAGUGAAAUGCGUAGAGAUGUGGAGGAACACCUGUGGCGAAGGCGGCCCCCUGGUUGGAUACUGACGCUGAUACGCGAAAGCGUGGGGAGCAAACAGG
rnacentral:rRNA from 1 species